CUGCAAGAUCUACUCUGUUUGAUACUUAUCGGUCACAAUUAAACAAUAGAAAGAGGGCUUCUACUUCUAAUGCGAGAGCAGCUUGCAGUUCUAGUAGUACGGUUCAACGACCCCACGAGAGACGAGCUACUGUUAUGGUUCAAGUCGGCAUUGGACGAUUUAGAAAUGGAGUAUUUCGCAAAAUAUCUGCACAUAGCCUUUCUGCAACUGGAGGUCAAGUGGUAGUCGGUCCAUUUCCAAAAAGCACAAAUACAGUAGAAGCUAUUAAAUUGGCCUCAUUCCAGAAAUUCCGCUAUUCGAAUCGUUCAUUUAGAAACACGUACACUAGGAGUGAAAGGUUCUACUUGGUGUACAACGACGGGACGAUCAUUGAUAAACUCUCAGACAAGUCCGGAGAUUUCUCCAUUGAAGGUUACAGAAAUUUCGUGAAUCCCAAACUAGUAUGACCGGAUCAGAUUUUUCCUCUGUGAAAAAGCUGAUCUACAAGACGUUGAAAUUGUAACGGAUUCAAGUUCCUCGUCAGAUGAUCUCCCUGAGCUGACAUUUUCUCGUCAGCAACAGAGUGAUUCCAUGGAUUCCACACUUCCCUUGGUCAUGGAUGUGAGCUUUUAUAUUGAGAACGAAUUUAUUUGCAAUGAGUCGUUUCCUAAUAACUCAGCCAUUUCGAUCCUGCUGAAAUAUCUGAGCGACGGACACAAAGUGGGUUCGGCGGAUGAGGGCGAGACUGUCACCCUAAAAUUUCACGAUAGAUGUCUGCGACUUGAUGAGAGACUCAUCGAGGUGUCCGCCACAUCACACGUGCGCGUGAACGUGGAAAUAAACAA